rnacentral:lncRNA from 1 species
GCAUACACACACCACACACACGCACGUACACACGCUGUGCUGUACUCCCUUUUCUUGUCUCUGAACCCAGGGCCAGUAGGUCUCCGCUUGAUGGUUGCCUGUCAGCUCCUCCUCACUCUGGUCCUUGACAGCUCCCUUUUCUGCUAAAGCAAGUCCUCACUGUCUUUUGGGACCCCUGGGUGGCCUCUUGAUCACCCCACCUCCUUGCUCUGAGCCUUUCUUCUCUGAAAGCCCUGAGCCCCUGGGCAGGUCUUCUCCUAGCACACCCGAGUGCUGGGCUCUGUACUCGACUUAAAGGACCCAGCAGUGAAUGAGACAGAAGCCCUGCCACCCAGGAGGGGACAGACCUGCUCCAGGAGCACC